GUGGGGCAGUGCUUCCAACAUCACAAAUUGCUUCUGACAAUUUUAUAAUGUGAAAUCGAGAGAAUGUGAAUAUGGGAUCGUUGCAAUGGUCCCCUACAGGUGAUAAUUAUGGUAGUGGAUGGGGUGGUUGUGUCGUGUAUAGAUACCCGGUAGCGCUCGACUGAAUUGGGCAGCUUAAGGAUGUCUUGUCUAUAGAUCCAAGAAGGUGGAUUGGAGUUUUAACUUUAUCACAGGAUAAAAAUGCCAAAGACAGGAUGAUUGUCGCAGCAAUUAUCACAGCAAUUACGUUGUAACCAGCCAACCACUUGACUCGAGGUCGAAAUUUGAUGACGACGGUUCCAGAAAUGAU